CUAUUUGCAUGGCAACUUUUUAACGACUCCAAAUAAAGGCUGCCAGAAGAUUUUACUGUGUGGAUCAACUUUCCGCGAAAGAUAACGGGUAAUCCAUCAUCGAAAUUUCUGUUUUACAAAGGAAAAGCUGUAUUUCCAAGAGAACGCGUUUUUACUCGAGAAACUAAGUUGAAUUAAUUGAAAUGUUUUCUCCUCCAAUGCAAACGAGUUAGUGAGCCUCCACAAAUCACACACUCUUGCCUGCCAGACGCGUUUUGUUUCUGCAGGGAUCGUUCUGUGACGAGAUAAAUCUGCCUGGAAAUGUUCAGUAAGACUAGGCGAGCCGAUUAAGAAUGGAGCGCAGUCUUCGCGCGGAGCCGCGUUCAACUCCGCACGCACCGGGGAAACGCCGCGCCAGCAUUGUCCCAUUGUGUGGGUCCGGCACAAGCAUGGACCCUCAAACUCUGAUUUACAACCGACUCCGAUCCUAAGCGAGUGGAGCCCAUUUUACCAGAGUACAACCAGACACUUGCAAAUACAGUGAUUACAAGUGAGAGACUACAUGCAAACGCCAUUUUCCACACCGAAUUGUCGAUGGUAAAGAUAUUUUUUUUCCCCAGCCACACACAACUGUUUCUUUACACCACGCAUUUCUGGGCCAUAGUUAAGGCCGAUGCUCGGUUUAUUUUGCUUCCUUACCGCGAUAAGGAUUGAAGGCGCCGCUCCUGCUCCACUCGCUCGAAGCUACGAACUCCAGACAAUACCUCAGGAAGAUGACUUGCUUCACAUGCAUUUCUGUGGGUUCUCAUCUGGUUGAUCAAGCUCAACACAGACAGAACAGGAAAUGCUUGAUAUUCUGGAGAAGUGUGAGCAUGAAUGGAAUGGCAAGCAUACAAUUACCGCAGAAGUACAAUAAACUGAUGUUGUUGGAUGCAAGCCAAGGUCUUGAUGAAUCAGGUUUGAGCUUAUUAUCACUAACUUUUAGAAUUGAACAAGCACACUAGAUGAAAUUGAUCUUCAUUCCGAGACAAUUUAUAACCACAAAUGAAAGUACCGUCUUCAUCGGAGCAGUGAAAAAUCGGAGACAUGAAAUGUCUAAGUAUAUGAAAGGUGUCUACAGGGAUGUUCCUGUAGCAUCAAAACAAUGCAAAUGUUGCAGCACGUGCACUUUUGUAAAUUUAUAUUAUAUUACAAUUGACUCUGAAAAUACAGAUGUAUUAUUCAUGCAAAUAUGUUAUUCAUGUUGUCACUUGUUUUGACCAUUUUGACACAAAGGAUAUGUUGAUAGUUCACAUAAACAUAUCUUUAAAAAUGACUGAGAUGGAAGCAAGACUGUGCAUAUAAUCAAUAAAUAGUGCUCACACAGUAAACAAUUUUCUAAAGAAAAUCCCAAUGUUAUGAUAGUCUUAUUUGUUAGAAUGUGUGAGCCUACCAGAAUAAUAAUCUACACCUGAGGCAAAUGUUUGUACUUUGUAUUUCACAAUUCUUGGUCGGGUUAAUUGGCCUAAGCCUCUGUACUAAUUGUAAAUUAUUUUAGACAGUGCAGGCAAUUGUUGAUAAUUCAUCUUCUUUAAACUGCAAACUGCAGGAAAUGGUAUCCCUGGUCCAUUUUAAAAUCACUGUUGUAUGUCUGCAGCUGAUGAAGAUGAGCAGAAUUGGUGAAUUGAACUCAUUAUCCUCCUUCAUAAUCUUUUGAGGUCAGAUCACCUGGCUUUGUGAAGGUUACAACAUAGAUCUUAGGACACAAUGACAACAUUUGGGUAUUUAGGGAAUACAAGGAGAGAAGAGAUGAAGAAAGGUGUGGACUUUCUUUGAUCUUACACUGGAUUAGAAUUCUUUCUUGUCUCUGAUUAUGUUCCCUGCCACAAUUUACAAAGACUACCAGAAGGCAAUAUGCAAACAAUGGUUCAAUGGUUCCAUUAAAUAUCAGAGAAUGUGUACAAUAUACAGCCUGAAAUUCUUACUCUCCACAGACAUCCUUGAAACAGAUGAAAAACGCCAAUGAAUGAUAGAGAAAUAAAAGAAGCCCAAAGCCUUGUGCCCCCUCCCAUGCACAAGCAGCAUCAACUCUACCCCUCCCUCCACUGAUUCUAGCGUAAAGCAUCAACAUUCCCACCACCCACCAUGCAAGGAGCAGUAAAGCCCCCCAAAGGGAGACCAUGGUCUACAGUACAUCAGAAACUAACUGUUCACUCCAACAUUUCAAAUCCCACAGAGCCACUCUCUCAUUAACAAGAGAGAGACAGGGGGGACAAUCAGCCACUGUUCCAGUGUCACAUUCACAGUCUGCAGUGUCACUUUGUAUUUCGAAAAUCAGCAGCAAACUCUCAUCCACCAUCGAGAGAGAGGGAGAGCAAACGCCCGAGUGCAGAGACGUCUACGUUUUGACAGCCGCUCUCGCUGUCCUGAUGUUCCAGCUCUCCAUAACACUUCAGUUCAUGACACCCGGCAAGAAUUCCUGUCCACAGGGCCGUACAAAGCCACAGCCAAAAGUGCCUAACUUCAGGCUGCACCUGGAGGUAGCGAAAACAAUCGGCGAGCUCCAAGAACAGGAACACACUGCUGUGCAGAACCACACUUUGAGUGCUGGUGCAGUCACAACCUCUGACAGGAGCCCAUCCACCAUGACAAGGGCAAUACAAGAAAGUUCCUGAAGUUCUGGGAUAUUUGUUAGUUUGGGAGAUCAUUAACAAGGUCAGUUUGAUUGUAAUGAGCUGAGUUUUUACACAGCUACAUUGCUCUGGUAAAGGUACUCUCAGAGUACUGAGUACACAAGGUUGAAAUGUAGUUUGAUUGGCAUUUUCUGAAAGGAUGACAAGUCAUUAAGUCCAAGAAUAGGCUGGCAUUCCAGUUUGAUGUUGCCAUUCAUUAUUCAAGUGAAAUGAAAGUUUUAUCAUAAGUUCUUAUGACGCUGUCGCCACUUUGUAACCCCUUAAAAAGUGAAGAAAGGGUUAAAUGGCAGCAAUAUGUUAUAGAUAGAGAAACAGCAUUUAGGAACACAAGUACCAGGGCACUGUAUACCAUCUCCUCUGCACUAGUUGUGUUAGGUGGUGGUAAAGGCUUACUUGUUGAUAUGAUGACUAUUUAUGGUACAGUAUACAGCAGACAGAGACUUCUUGUAAAACUAAUAUGUAUCUCUGGCAUUGGCAUUCCUAGUGCCACAUUUCCCAGAGUCAACCUCACUGAGGAUCACUUCACCCAAAUGCAGCUUUCUGUCUGCAUUGGCACUGCACAAAACGAUCGACUGUGACUCAAGGGCCAAUCUGCAUGCACACACUUGAGAUACCUCAGCCAGUGAGAGUGUGUAUAUUGGGCUAUGAAAAUAUUAAAUGCCCACAUAAUGUACUUGUAAAAUGUGAAGCAGCUUAUCACCUUUUCAACACACAGAAAAUGCCAAAGGAACUCAGCAGGCCAGGCAGCAUUGAUGGAAAAGAGUGAACAGUCUAUGUUUCAGGCCAAGACCCUUCAUUGGGACUGGAAGGAAAGAUGAGAAGUCUUGUGUGUGUUGCUUGGAUUUCCAGCAUCUGCAGAUUUUCUCAUGUUUACGUUCUCCCCUUUUCCACCAUUUAAAUACUCAAGGCAUCGGUUUGGGUCUUCUCCUCCACGAGCCCAAAAUGAUUACAUGAGUACCUGCUUAUUCACUGGAUCUUCCUACACCCGGUAGUCAUAAACAAAAGAUCUGUUUUCAACUGUCCAUCUAUCAAAUAUCAAAGUUAUAUUUGGUCUGUAUCUGAAACAUCUGCAAGCCUAGAGCCACAAUGGUAAUGAGGUCAGGGAUACAAUUUCUGACCUUGAUUCUCCCUAUUUUUGACCUAGAUGGUGUUAUAGAGCAUUGAAUGACCCAACAUGUGCUGGAUGCACAAGUUCCAAUGUCCUUGUACAAGUAAUUUUAACCCUCUUCAUUCAUUGAUGCAUUGUAGUUCUUAAAGCUGUUCAUCUGAACUUUGUGUUAUUAAUGUUCUGUAAGUGUUUUCUCCUUCAUAAAUAUAUGCCAAUUAAUGACAGUUACACUAUACUCUUUUGGAUACACUGAGGAACAGUAGGUCAAAUUUUACAGUGUUUACAAGGAGAUAACAAUUGAAGUUAAGUGUUAUAUUCUGCAGUUUUCUACUGCAGUUUGUUGAGUUGCAAUAUUGCAAUGGAUGUCAAAUAGGUGAGCGGAAGAAUGAAUAAAACUUCAUAACAGGAGUGGAAAAUGGAAGUUUCGAAGCAGUAGAGACUUCAUAAUUAUCUUUGCCUCUCCUGUUCCAUUACCUCCCUGUGACAAGACUCCUUCACUUUCUGUAAAGGAACCACAAACUGGAACUGAAAUGACCCGCUGCCAUCAUGCCACAUUUCCACAACCCAUCCUCACACCAGCUGAUGACCAUCAGCAUAAUCUAACGAGACAUGCAAAUAAAACUGACUAGUUGUUUGUCACACAAGUCCCAUUUUACCAACCACCUCAGUAUUGUGUCUGGGUGAUGUACUUAGAUCUUGUCAUGUUGUCUGCACUCUAAAAUCAACACUGAUUUGGCUACAGUGCACAGUUCUCUUGUGCUACAUAAGCUUUUCUGAGCAGUUUAGUUCAUUCAAUUCUGUUACAGUGAAUCAGAAUCAAGUUUAAUAUCAUCAGCAUAUAUUGUGGAUUUUGUUAACUUUGAGGCACCGGUACAAUGCAAUACGUAAUAAUAGAGAGGAAAAAACUGUGAAUUACAGAAGUAUAUAGAUUAUACUACAUAAUGUAAACUAAACUCUGAUUUGAGAUGAAAACAGAAUUGCACUGUGCUUGGUGAUGGGUUAUUUUGUCUUGAAUUUCACAAAGUUUAUGUUUCCCUGUUUAAGAAAGGCAAUUCUGAAUAAGAAAGACGGAGUGACUUUCAAAGGUAAGAAACGAUGUAUAAUGAUUUGAAUGAUUUAUAAUGUGGCCAAAAAUGCUAGAUAGCCAGUUUUAAGACAUCCUCAAGCCCAAACAAUUGUUGCAAUUUUAAAUUCACAAAACCAAGAUAAGGUGUGAAAUGAAUUGCUAUAAAUAUUUACAACCUCACACUAUUCUCUUGGGCUGACGCAGAUCACUCCUUGUAUAAUUGGAUACCAUAAAGCAACCCCUAACAGAUAGGGUUAUGGCUUUGAAGAACUACUAAGUCCAAGUUAUCUGUACUGCUCUGGUUGCCCACCAAAACUAGUCACAUUUGACCGUGUUUGACCUGUAUCCCACCGAAGCUAAGUUGUCAUUCCCAUUUCAGAGAAAGGAGAAGAUUGAUUAGCAUGGAAAACUGAAAUAACACUGUUAUGAAUGUACCACAGCUCUGAGGGGCCGAAGGGGCGGGAGCAGCCCCCUCCUUCCGGAGAAUCACAAGAUGGCUAUUAAUUCGGGUCUCGGAUCCAGGAAGUGAGAGACAAUGCAAUGGUUUUGGCCAUUGUUCUUAGAGGCACCUGUGUGACGUGCAUGUCCCUGCUACGUGACAGCUACCAUGCAUUUGGACACCCUCGGGCAAUAUGGGGGUGGGAAUUGCAUCACCCUACUUUGAUGGACAUCUACAACUCUGCAAGUCAAGAUAAAAGGGGACUGCAGGAGGCAGUACCCCAGCGACGCACCAGAAGGAGACCCUCGCUCAAUGCUCCCGUGGCUGGAAGCCACUCAACGCCAUGUGCGCUCCUAACUCCUUUGCCUGGGGAGCGGGUGGCUGAUAAUACCGAGAAGGACUUCGAACUAACAACGGGGAAACAACAUUCCCCUAAUUUUACGGAGUGGCUUCACAAAGACCCGGGCAAGUUUUUUUUCCGUUUUUCACCGAUCCCUCUAAAACACAUGAAACCCAGCGAUUCCCCAAAAGGCUAAAGUCUGCAGACUUCUGAGUGACUUUUAUAUUUCCAUCGGACAAUCUAUUAACCCCUAGACAACAGUAGAGCUCACUUCUUAAUGAUGAUUAUUACUAUACCCGCGCUUUAGAUUGAGUGUUGACGAUGUGCCUUAUCUGAAUGUUUGUAUUAACCUUAUUUUGUGUCCCUU